UGAUCACGUGCCCGUAUGCCUGAGCUUAUUUAUUCAGCUGAUGUCUGCCUAAUCUCUCGAGGCAUAGAAGUAUUACCGAUACCAGAAGCGGCAUUCAAAUAAAAAUCUUGUUAUUGCUUAGUGUUUUGUGGCCAGCCCCAGGUUGGCAGCACAGUGAGGUUAGAGUACACAAUAAGGCUUCAGGUUGAGUAGCCAACUCUGCAUGGCAUCACCACAGCUGAGCAGAGCUGGUGUUGGACAUUAUUUUUGGAAGGGAUUUCCAGUAACAUUCGAGUAAGGUCACGAAUCAGAGUAUAACCUGUUGUGUGCAUUUUUAGCACUGACUUCAUUGGAAUUAAAGAAGAGAACGCAAAAUACCGUUAAAGUCCUGUGAGAAUGUGCUGUUUUACACACACAUGCAGAAAAAGAAGAAGAAAAAAAAAAAAAAGCCAGCUUCCAUUUGCAGAAGAUGUUGCUGUAGAGCCAGUAAGGUAGAUACUAUAGAAGUAUAUUAAGAAGUGUGACCUGAAGAUCAUCUCUUCAAGAGCUACAUAUAGGCAUGGAAAAAUCUUUCAGCAAAUGCCUGGGCAUUUUUUUAGUUGUCUGUUUUACUGAGAGGUAGUGCUUUUGUGUAGUGCAGGCAGGCUCUCUGUGCCUGUAUGCCUAUGCCUAUUUAUUCUGUAGAUGUUGGUGUCUGAGUAAUCCUCAUGAAACAUGAAGCACAGUGAGUGACAAUGAAACUUAUCUAACUGUCAUUUGAUGUUUGUACUGGCAAUGAACCUGCCGUGUAAUUUCCAUAUAUGCUACUCUGAAGUAGUUUAUGGUAACUGUCACUCAUGGUACCAUUGUGUGUGGAUAUGAAGGUCCAUAAAGAGGUAGAUUAAAUGUGUGGUUAAUCCAAGUACUUUAAGAAAUAGAUGCUUAGAAAUGUUUGUACCUUUUGGGCGUUUUUUAAGGGAUUAUUUCUCUGGUUGUCUUUUAUUUCUUUACAUAUUUUGAGAAAGAACAGAAAUACAUUUUUUUUUUUAAUGAUUCUCCUCUUAGUAAUAAUUCCUUGAGACAGCAUCUUGGGAUCCAUGUAGCUUAUGUUCUGAAUCAGAUAUGAGUCUGUAUCGAAUGGGUUUAUUUAACUUAUAACAAAGAAAUAAUCCCUUCUCCAACAACCAGCCCAUUGAAAUCCAGACGAUUUCUGCCAGAUACUUGGACAGGAGACAGGUUUUUAUUCUAGGAUCUUGUAUUUCAUAAAUGCAGUCCCACAACACACUGAUUUGUCCUGGGAGCUGUAUUAAAGGAGAAAAAAAAGUCAUUCCCUAGUAUUCUCGGAAACCAUUUUACCUCUUCUAAAUAACAAUGACAUGACUAACUGAGAAGGAGGCACGGUUAGUUCCUUUGAGCAGGUUAUCCUUAUUUUCCUGAAAAGUUUGAUGCAGUUCUUGCAUCGAAUUGUAGCAGAAGAUACAUCAGCAGAAGGUGAUUUCCAGAUUUGCAAAUGGGAUAGUUUGCACUGAGAGGCAUGGAGCAGAGUCCAUCAGAUAUGGGCUUUACUCAUCCUGGGCGAUGUUAAGAUUGUUUCUUCUUGGAUCUCUUGCUAUUCAUGGCAAUAUCAUUAUUGAGAUAUUAGUCAUUUCUUUUGAGGCUGGGCAGAUUACCUUCCAGCCAGAAGUUAUUGCACCAUCGGAUACAGAAGUCAUACAUGGAUCACAGUCCCAUAGCCCAGACAAUGUGGACCCGCUGUGUGUUGCUAAUUGUCAGUGUACGGCAUCUCAGGACUUGUCCAUCUGGAUGUGUGCAGGCAGCUCACACUUUCUCCUUGCCCGUGAGCCAGCCUGGCUGGACAUAAGCCAUCUCUUCUCCAGAAGCCAUGUAGUCACCUGAGCCCUUGCUCCUGAUCAGCCAGAUGAGUCAGCCCCAGCUAGAAGCCAUGUAACCACUUAGAGCACGUAUAGAAGAGAUGCGCAGCUGGGCACUCAUUCCCAAAUGAGCCAUAAGUGGCCAAGGACAAGACUGAGUAAGAAAUGAUGUAAGUAGAAAAUGGCUCUCGGAAAUAAUCCCUUCUAUCAACGGUCCUACUUCACUGCAUCUACAGAAUGUUUCACUGUGUUGUGUACACCUUUUCCACAUAAGUAUGUGAACCUUAUGAUAUUGAUACAGCU
ensembl:lncRNA